UUUCCGUAGGUGAACCUGCGGAAGGAUCAUUCUUGUAUAACCGAUAUGCGAGGGCUGUCGCUGACCCGAACGGUCGUGCACUCCCGAGUGCCCUCUCACACAUCCAUCUCACCCCUCUAUUCACCACCGCGCGGGUCCCCCUUUAGCUUGUUCGGAUGGGGGCUUACGUUAUAACACACACUUACUGUGCUGUGUAGAAUGUCUUUUUUGUUUUUGCGAGCAGACAGGCAAUACACAUUUCUACAACGGAUCUCUUCGCUCCCACAUCGAUUAAGAACG
rnacentral:misc_RNA from 1 species